AAGAUCCUCCGCAAGCUCCCCUCUGGGUAAUGUAUCGCUGCUCCAUCCACAGUACGCAGAGAAGAGCCAUCAGUUGUGCGAGAGCAGCGCAGAUUCAGCCACAGACGCAGCUUCAGCCACAGCCAGAGCCACAGCCAGAGCCACUCUCCCAGCCGGGGCAGAGAGAGACGGGGGGCGAUGAUGAGCUGACCAGGGGGUGCCACUUCUCCACCACUGAGAGAGGGAACGCAGUGCACAGCAGCACAGCGCAGCACAGAGCGGUGCAGCAGAGGACGAGACGAGAGGCAGCGCCGCCCACCCAUCCACCCCAACCACCCACCCACCCACCCGUCCGCCGAGGGGGAGCGGGAGACAGAGAGGGACACACAGCUCCAGCAGCUCCUCCGGCAUCUGCAUUCACAGGAUUCACCGACAGCCCUCCCACCACGCACACACACACACACAUACUCCCAUGUGUGUGUGAGCACACACACAAACACACACACACCUGUGAGUGAGCAGACAUGCACACAAAUACAAACCAGUAGACAUGCCAGGAAUAGAAAGAUACGCUGGUGGAUUUUUCUUCAUGUGAUAGACUUUUUCCUCCUUUUUUUUCUUCAUUGCCUUUUUUCAGAAGGAAUGAGAAAGAAAAGAUCCUUUUGAGGAUUUCACCUAAAGUUACUUUUUUGGGAAGAUUUGUUUCUUCUGGAUUCUUUGAAUCUGUCAGAAGCACAACAAAGUGAUAUCUGCGUCUGCUGGCGGGGUGAAAAAAAAACACGAUUAGUCCAGGCACUUCAGCGACGUCUACCCUCUAACUGGAUUAUGUGGAGGAUAUUUUGGACUUUCUCUUUUAGCUUAAAGAAAUUUCCGUGACCGGUGGAUUUGGCACUUCAGUACAAGGACGGAUCCUUUGUGCUUUCUCCCACCCUCUCCCAUGGAUUACCGCUGGGCUUUGGGCUCAGAGAACUCUCUUAUGGAACGCUGCUCACGGCUUGUCAUUAGGGAGAAUUGUAAAGACUGGGAAAAGUAAGUCACCCCCCUGUUCCUAUUUAAACCCCUGCUUUUGUUAGUGCUUAGGCAGCUUUCAUUUUGAUCUUAUGGUGUCUGUGGAUUGUUUGGUUGUUAAAAUCAUCCUUGAGGACAGGGAGUAGAGAUGAAUAAUGAGAUAAGGAAUC
rnacentral:lncRNA from 1 species